CAGGCGCGAAACCUCUGCACUAGGCGAAAGCCUGACAGGGUUACUCUGAGUGAUUUCCGUUAAGGAGAUCUUUUGGCACCUCUAAAAAUGGUGCAGAAUAAGGGGUGGGCAAGUCUGGUGUCAGCCGCCGCGGUAAUACCAGCACCCCGAGUGGUCGGGACGUUUAUUGGGCCUAAAGCAUCCGUAGCCGGUUCUACAAGUCUUCCGUUAAAUCCACCUGCUUAACAGAUGGGCUGCGGAAGAUACUAUAGAGCUAGGAGGCGGGAGAGGCAAGCGGUACUCGAUGGGUAGGGGUAAAAUCCGUUGAUCCAUUGAAGACCACCAGUGGCGAAGGCGGCUUGCCAAAACGCGCUCGACGGUGAGGGAUGAAAGCUGGGGGAGCAAACCGGAUUAGAUACCCGGGUAGUCCCAGCUGUAAACGAUGCAAACUCGGUGAUGAGUUGGCUUUAUGCCAACUCAGUGCCGCAGGGAAGCCGUUAAGUUUGCCGCCUGGGGAGUACGGUCGCAAGACUGAAACUUAAAGGAAUUGGCGGGGGAGCAC
rnacentral:rRNA from 1 species